GACGAACGCUGGCGGCGUGCUUAACACAUGCAAGUCGAACGGUGAAGCGCCUUCCUUUUUGGUGGGUGUGGAUGAGUGGCGAACGGGUGAGUAACACGUGAGUAACCUGCCCCCUUCUUCUGGAUAACCGCAUGAAAGUGUGGCUAAUACGGGAUAUUCUGGGUCUGUCGCAUGAUGGGUCUGGGAAAGAUAUUGUUUCGGUGGGGGAUGGGCUCGCGGCCUAUCAGCUUGUUGGUGGGGUGAUGGCCUACCAAGGCGGUGACGGGUAGCCGGCCUGAGAGGGUGGACGGUCACACUGGGACUGAGACACGGCCCAGACUCCUACGGGAGGCAGCAGUGGGGAAUAUUGCACAAUGGGCGCAAGCCUGAUGCAGCGACGCCGCGUGAGGGAUGGAGGCCUUCGGGAUGUGAACCUCUUUCGCCAGUGAAGCAGGCCUGCCUCGUUUGUGGGUGGGUUGACGGUAGCUGGAGAAGAAGCGCCGGCUAACUACGUG
rnacentral:rRNA from 1 species